GCCAGACAUGUUGGCACACUCCUGUAAUCCCAGCUAUCAGGAGGCUGGGGCAGGAGGAUCACAGUUUCCAAGCCAGCUUAUGCAAUUUAGUGAGACCCUGUCUCAA
rnacentral:sRNA from 1 species